GAUGAACGCUGGCGGCGUGCCUAAUACAUGCAAGUAGAACGCUGAAGCUUGGUGCUUGCACCGAGCGGAUGAGUUGCGAACGGGUGAGUAACGCGUAGGUAACCUGCCUCUUAGCGGGGGAUAACUAUUGGAAACGAUAGCUAAUACCGCAUAAAAGUCGAUAUCGCAUGAUAUUGAUUUGAAAGGUGCAAAUGCAUCACUAAGAGAUGGACCUGCGUUGUAUUGGCUAGUUGGUGAGGUAACGGCUCACCAAGGCGACGAUACAUAGCCGACCUGAGAGGGUGAUCGGCCACACUGGGACUGAGACACGGCCCAGACUCCUACGGGAGGCAGCAGUAGGGAAUCUUCGGCAAUGGGGGCAACCCUGACCGAGCAACGCCGCGUGAGUGAAGAAGGUUUUCGGAUCGUAAAGCUCUGUUGUAAGAGAAGAACGAGUGUGAGAGUGGAAAGUUCACACUGUGACGGUAACUUACCAGAAAGGGACGGCUAACUACGUG
rnacentral:rRNA from 1 species